rnacentral:misc_RNA from 1 species
GAUGAAGAACGUAGCGAAAUGCGAUAAGUAAUGUGAAUUGCAGAAUUCAGUGAAUCAUCGAAUCUUUGAACGCACAUUGCGCCCGCCAGCACUCUGGCGGGCAUGCCUGUUCGAGCGUCAUUUCAACCAUCAAGCCCCCAGGGGCUUGUGCUGGGGCCCUGCGGCUGCCCGCAGGCCCUGAAAACCAGUGGCGGGCUCGCUAGUCACACCGAGCGCAGUAGCACAUCUCGCUCAGGGCGUGCUGCGGGUUCCGGCCGUUAAAAAGCCUUCGUAACCCAAGGUUGACCUCGGAUCAGGUAGGAAGACCCGCUGAACUUAAGCAUAUCAAUAAGCGGAGGA